UUUUUAUAGGUGUAGUUGCACAAUAAAAUUUGAAUUUAUAGGAAAGGUAUAGCCUUAUAAGAAA
rnacentral:tRNA from 1 species